CGUCCAUUUCGUUUUGAGCCUUCAACGGUGAAACUCGUGUUGAUUAGUCGGACAGACAUUUAGCUUAAAAAAAUCUUUACAAUAUUUAUUAAACAAGAGAAUGUAGUUAUAAAAGUGUGAAAACAUCUCAAUCUGCUGAUUGACGAUGUGCGCAUUUUGAAACCAACUAAAAUGGAAUUGAUCUGAUUCCAAGCGCUUGUCAUGGAUCCCGGUGAAAUGGCUACAUUUAUUGAUCCGCGUGGGGCGUCAUUGAGUAAGGGGCAUAGCACGGAUCAUCAAGGAAGCAACUAAAAAUACUACACCCAGAUGUCUACUCCAACGAAGGAAAAAUGAUGACUCAAGAGGUUUAAUCCUCGGUCUAAAAUCGCGGGAAUGAUACUCAAGCAGUAGCAUUGAAGCAGGCGGCCGACUUGUCUUUCAGGACUAUGUUUAUUCUUUCAAAAGUUCAAUAAAAGAAAACCGUUUCUUAACUAA